GGACUACUGGGGUAUCUAAUCCUGUUUGCUCCCCACGCUUUCGUAGUUGAGUGUCAGUGCUUGUCCAGCUAGCCGCCUUCGCCUCUGGUGUUCCUCCCGAUCUCUACGCAUUUCACCGCUACACCGGGAAUUCCGCUAGCCUCUCCAAGACUCCAGUCUUACCGUUUGCGGGGCACUUCUUGAGUUAAGCCCAAGGCUUUCACCCCACACAAAUAAGACCACCUACCUACCCUUUACGCCCAAUAAUUCCGAGCAACGCUUGCACCCUCCGUAUUACCGCGGCUGCUGGCAC
rnacentral:rRNA from 1 species